GCCGGUAGUGAUGGAAAGAGAUAG
rnacentral:siRNA from 1 species